rnacentral:rRNA from 1 species
GCCUCAGUAACGGCGAGUGAAGCGGCAACAGCUCAAAUUUGAAAUCUGGCUCUUGGGUCCGAGUUGUAAUUUGUAGAGGAUGUUUUGGGUACCGCCGCGGUUUAAAUUUCUUGGAACAGAAUGUCAGAGAGGGUGAGAGUCCCGUCUGGAACUGCGGUAGGGCCUGGGUAAAACUCCUUCGACGAGUCGAGUUGUUUGGGAAUGCAGCUCAAAAUGGGUGGUAAAUUUCAUCUAAAGCUAAAUAUUGGCCAGAGACCGAUAGCGCACAAGUAGAGUGAUCGAAAGAUGAAAAGCACUUUGAAAAGAGAGUUAAACAGUAUGUGAAAUUGUUGAAAGGGAAGCGCUUGCAACCAGACUUGUGUGUGGCGGUUCCCCCUUGCUUCUGCUUGGGCUACUCCGUCAUAUCCAGGCCAACAUCGGUUCCAGGGGUCGGUUAAAGGCCCUGGGAAUGUAUCUACCCCCGGGUAGACUUAUAGCCCAGGGUGUCAUGCGGCCUCCCGGGACCGAGGAACACGCUUCGGCGAGGAUGUUGGCGUAAUGGUUGUCAGCGACCCGUCUUGAAACACGGACCAAGGAGUCUAACAUCUAUGCGAGUGUUUGGGUGUCAAACCCGUACGCGAAAUGAAAGUGAACGGAGGUAGGAAGCCCUUAGGCUGCACUAUCGACCGAUCCUGAUAUUUAUGGAUGGAUUUGAGUAAGAGCAUAGCUGUUGGGACCCGAAAGAUGGUGAACUAUGCCUGAAUAGGGUGAAGCCAGAGGAAACUCUGGUGGAGGCUCGCAGCGGUUCUGACGUGCAAAUCGAUCGUCAAAUUUGGGUAUAGGGGCGAAAGACUAAUCGAACCAUCUGGU